AGCCACACUCCAGCCCUGGGGAAGUCCUCCCUGGGGUCUGACCACCAUCUUCACCGCUGCAAAAGGUACUUACGAAGCAGAUGCCUGCUUGCCGGCGCGGCACCAGCGUGCACACGUUCACGCGGCGGCGGCACAGGGCCUUCACCAUCCAGCCACAGGACGGGCCUUGGCGCUGUGCUGCGCUGGGAACAGGCUCGGAGGGCGCCCACUGCGGGUUCCCCAGGGUGCCGCCGUCCGGCCCCUUCUGCACCCCGGGGCCUCUGCCCCCGCUGCUCGGGCUCCCUCCCGUGCUCUCAGGCCCACCUGGAUCACCACGAUGUCGUUGAGCAGCCGCCUGGGGUCGAAGCCGUUCUCGAAGAUCCGCUGCACGGAGAAGGUCUGCCGAGUGGGCUCCCGGCGCCGCAGGUUGUGGACUCCCAGGACCACCUGCACCAACCGGAAGUUCCUGGGGGCAGUGGAGGUGGGGGAGGAGGGUGCGUGGGAACGGCCACCCGUGCACCCGGUGUGGCCCACGUGGACGCCGAGGGCUGGGAGGGGAAGGAGGGGCGGAGGGGGGACUCACAGGCCGUUCACACAGUGAGCCGCUGACAUGACGAAGUUCCUGGCGAUGAGCGUGGCGCCGCAGAAGUGACCCCCACGCAGCUGCAGGGACGCCAUGAAGGGCCAAGCAUGGGGCCGGGCUGGCCGGCCACCCACAAUCUCUGAGGCCAGCGUCGGGCCUGGGGACGCACAGGGAGGAAGAGUGAGCCCCAGGCUGCUUGGACCCUCGAUGAGGGAAACUGAGGCACAGAGAGGCCCGGGGACCUUGCCCAGGGUACUCCUGGACUUGAGUCCCUGGUGAGUCCCCCAGCCUUAGAACCCCGGUGUCCUGACAGUGUCUUUCUCCGAGGUCCUGAGGGAUGUGGAAAGACAAUGGAUGUGGGUCCGCGCGCACUCACCACCCAGGAGCAAGGCCAGCAGCACGGGAGCCAGGGGCCAGCGGGACGGUGGGCUGAGGGCCAUGGCAGGCCGUGCUCUCCUGGCUCCCGCACCCCUACCUAACAGCCGUACUUAUAGCUGGAACCACAGGCCGUUGUAUUGCCCCAUGCUGGCCACAGCCCCACUUCCUCCCUGGCGACAGGGGGUGUGGGGGGGUCCACGGCCCCUCAGGGUUCCCACCUCAACUGCAUCCACGCUGCUGAUGUCAAGGAAAACUCAGCAAGCUGAGGGUUUCCCUUUCUUUCCUUUUCUUUCUCUCUCUCUUGCUUUCUUUCUUCCUUUCUUUUUCUUUUUUUUCUAAGAGGAUGUCAGGGCAGAAUGAUGGUGGUCGCUCACCCCUUUAAUCCCAGUACUUGGGAGGCAGAGGCAGGUGGAGCUUUGUAAGGCCAGACUGGUCUACAGAGUGAGUUCCAGGACAGCCAGGGACACACAGAGAAACCCUGUGUUGAAAAGGCAAGAAUUAAAUGAAAUAAGAUCUCAGGUAGCCCAGGCUAGCCUCGAAGUCUUAAUCCUACUGCUUUCCCUUCCCCCUUCCGAGUGCUGAGGUGACAGGGGUGCCACCUCCGUGCUAUAUCCAGCAACUUAUAUCUGAGGGCCAGGCCCUGUGCCUCAGUUUACCUCAGACAUAGCAAUAACAGCAACAGGUAAGUGUAUUGAGUUGUCACGGGGUGUGGUGCGAGCCUGACUUUUUCCUGGGGUGACAGGGAAUGGCUGGAUUCCCACUCGAGGCAGAACAUAUGGGGGAUGUGGGGGGGAUGUGGGGGCCGUGCCCACCAAGUGGCAGCUUAGUGUGUGUGUGCGAACAUGCACGCAAGCAUGCGUGUGCAUGUGUUCGAAUGUGUGUGUGUGUGUGUGUGUGUGCCAUGUAGCCCAGGCUGGCCUGGAACCCGCAGGGACCCGCCUGCCUCUGUGUCCUCAGUGCCGGGACUACAGGAGUGCUCCACCACGCUCAGCACGGCAGGGCGUGUGAAGCUGGGUCAGGGUGAUACAGCACAGUGCAGCCCCUGAGCCCUGAUUUGCUGGUUCUCCCCACGGCAGAACUCAGGCCCACCUGAUGGCGUCAGUGCCUGGGCACCCGUGAGAGGGACCUGGCCUCGGCGGGGCCAGAGUGUGGGUUCCCAUCUGGACCCACAGAGUCUCCUCCUACAACAGAGACAGGGCCUGACCCGGGACCCAGCCCCCCACUCUGUGGCCAGCUCCCUCCCGUCUCUCCCAGGAGCCCCAGCCAGGGCUGUUGCAAACCAACUGUCUCAUCUCCAGGACAGGGCAUGGGGUGGGGUGGGAUCCAACGGACAUGAGCAGGCGGGCAGGAUGCCAGCGCCAGCAAACAAAGCUUCAGAUGAGGAGGCCAGACUUAACCACAGCUGCACUUACUGAGCACCGCCUGUAUACCAUGCUGUCCAGUACCAUAGUCCAGGUCCUGAACUAACCCUUCUGUUAUGUUUUAUUAUUUUUUAAUGUACAUUUUGCCUGCAUGUAUGUCUGUGUGAGGGUGUCGGAUCUCCUGGAACAGGAGUUUCAGACAGUUGUAAACUGCCACGUGGGUGCUCGGACUUGAACCUAGGUCCUCAGUGCUCUUAGCGGCUGAGCUAUCUCUCCAGCCCGCUCAAGUUCUUUCCUGACCUCCGUUUAGUGCCUCCGGAUUCCCAGCAUCCCCCCCCACACACAAACGCAGUUCCCACACAGCGGUGAGACACUGGGGACGGCUCAGCGGGCGUUGGGAGGACUGAAAGCAGCCUGGGGCCAGAGUUCAGUGGGCAGCGAGCUCGCCUGGUGUGCACCCAGCCUUGGCAUCCAGCCCAGCGCCAUGGGACCAGCUGUGAUGGUCCACUUGCGUCGUCCCAGCACGCGGGAGGCGGAGGAGCCAGGGUUCUAGGCCAGCUUCGGCUACAUAGGGAGUGAGAGGCUAGCCUGGGCUAUGUGAGAUUGUCUCCCCAAAACCAGAACACGGUUAGAGAAGGAAUAAACCUGUAGACUCUGUCUGGCGCCUGCUGGACUAGACACAGCGCCGCCUGGUGGCGGCGUCGAAAGAAGCCAGCCAGCGAGCACCGCGUCUCACUUCGGAAGAUCCUGCGGCGAGUCCGCCCCUCCUUCACUUCCUCCCUCCUCCCGGGCUGGCUUUGGACCUCCUUCCCUUCUCGGAUGGCUCCAGCUCCUUUCUCUACGGCUGGGGAGAGCGGGGCGCUUCCACGUCCGCCCCUCCCGGGAGCAGAGCUGCUCGCUCUUCUGCCCUCCCCGCAGUCCCGCUGCCGUCCACCCUGCCUGUUGCUUUGGCUGCAUCAGGCCCCGAGGCGCCCAGUGCCCGCCCAAGCCGUAGAGAGAGCCCGGUCCUCAGGAAACCUGGAGCUGGGGGACACUUCACCGAACCCCGCCCGCCACAGGAGAGUUGGGUAGGCCGUCUGGCGCGCAGAAGGGCGGCUCAGGGCCCUGCGCCCCGCAGGACAGAGUGAAUCCAGUCCACAUACAAGGACACCCGGGCGAAGAAAUCCGGGAACUGGAGGGAGGCGCAUUCUCGGAUCACGAAGGAGUCGACCCCCUGAAGGACGCCAUCGCAGAUCAAGGGGCCGCCCGAGUCUCCCUGAGGAAGGAGACCACCGUGACGUUCAGUUCCUGCAGCACACGCGGCGUGGGCGCGCUGGUGCCCAGGCGGCCCCAGCCCAUGGCCAGGCACUGGGUGCCCUGGGGCAAAGACUGGUUCUGCUGAGGCAGAGAGGCCACGGCCACCUGCUGGCCUAGGAAGGCUGGCCGGUUCAGCUGCAGCAAAAGAGGGGGGAAAAGACGUGAGGACUCGGCCCCCCGGGGACCUGACAUCUCCUGAGCUCCCUCCAUUGACUCCGCUCCUGACCCCUUGAACUCAAACCCUAACCCUGACUCGGCCGUCCCCGUGGCCUAGCCUGAGCCGUAAGCCUCGGGGCCUAUGUCUGACAGGAGCCAGCCUGGUCAGACGCUGACCUACAGGCCGCAGUCCACGCUGUGACAGCUCCGCAUUCGCACGGGAGGUGCUCCCCAAGCGUCUCCUGCCCGCGCGGACCCCAGUCCCCACCGACCUGAGCCAGGAGCACGUCGUUGAGGUUCUCCUCGGAGUUGUAGUUGUUCUGGAAGACCUGAGUGAUGGUGAACCUCUGCUGCUCGGGCUCGAGCCUCUGCAGGUCGUGGGCACCCAGCACCACCGUCACCAGCUGCCAGGGGCUGCCGUUAAGGUUGUGGGGUGUUGGUUGAGGCAGGGGGAGGGAUGGAACCCCGGUCCUCUCACAUGCUAGCAAGGGCUCUACCCCUGGGAGGGGCUACCCCGACCACGCCCCUGGCCCUUCCCGAGUUGGAUUCUAGGCGCUCAGGGGGUUGGGGGGUGGAGGAAGAGAGAGAGAGAGAGAGAGAGAGAGAGAGAGAGAGAGAGAGAGAGAGAGAGCGCACACUGUGGUGGUGAUCUGGAGAAGACUUUGGGAAGAGCUGCUGGCCGGGGAGGAGACUGAGGAGCCUGUGCUGGCGGCUCAGACGCGCCGCCCCUCGCUGUCCCCUGUACUCACAUGUCCUCCAGGCAGUGGGCAGCCGUCAGCACGAAUCUAGGAUGGAUCAGCGUGCCACCACAGAAGUGGCUCCCGGGGAGCCUGGUCAGCUGCAGGGAGGCCGCAUAAGGCCGAGAAUGGGGCUGAGCCUCGCGCCCACCCACGAUCUGGGCGGCCUGAACAGCUCCUGGGGGAGACACGCGUCAGGACGGCAGCCUGGCAGCCUGAAUACUCCGGCCCUGAGAGCCACAGUGUGUUCUAGCUAUGGCUUCAAGGAUACCUGUGCCUGGGAGGAGUUAGGAGCUGGCUUGAAUCUAUGCUUAUUAUUUUUGUUGUUUUGAGAUAGUGUCCAAAGCUGUGGUCCAGGCUGGGCUUGAACACGUGUAGAUCUACCUGACUCUGCCUCCCAAGCGCUGGCAUUAAAGAUGUACACCAUUAAA